rnacentral:lncRNA from 1 species
GCAAAAAAGAGGAGACCAGAAUCUGAAUGCAGGUCAGUGCCACUUGGGCGCAGCCAGGCCGGAGGUGGGAGGGCCUGGGGGUGGGAGAGAGCCCCAGGCUCCCCUCCAGAGGCAGAAGGCGCGGUGCCUCGGGGCAGGGACCAUUUCCAGCUGCGCCCAUCCCCUCGCCAGCUCACUAGGGCCCCCCUGUGUCCACAGCUGUGGGAGCUCCUCACCCCUGCGCAAGAAGAAGAAGAGUGUGAAGAAGCACCGCCGAGACAGGUCUAACUCUGGGUCCAGGAGGAAGAGGCGGCACAGAUCUCGAAGCCCCAAGAGCAAAAGAAAGGAAAAGAACAAAGAGAGGAAGAGGCCUCACACGGAGUCCCCAGGCCGGAGGUGCCAUCGCCAUAGCAGUGGCAGUUCCCACAGCCCCUCUCUGUCCUCCCAGUACAGCGGCUCCAGGUCACCCAGCAGGUAGGCCCGGCUUCAGCACGUGACUCACAUGAGCUGGGGGCAGGGUCGGGGACACCUGCAGAUGAACCAGCGCAGGAGGGGUGGGCUGGUGUCCACCUGCAGAGAGAGCAGCCCUGAGGCGCCCCAGACCUUGACCUGGAGAUCAGUCUGGGGCCGGACAGCUGGGCUUGCUCUCUCUGUAAGUGGGCGAUGGUCCAGGUUCGGUGACACGACGGGUAAGGGGCUGUCCCCGGUGCUGCGGGGUGGCCGC